GACGAACGCUGGCGGCGUGCUUAACACAUGCAAGUCGAACGGAAAGGCCCUGCUUUUGUGGGGUGCUCGAGUGGCGAACGGGUGAGUAACACGUGAGUAACCUGCCCUUGACUUUGGGAUAACUUCAGGAAACUGGGGCUAAUACCGGAUAGGAGCUCCUGCUGCAUGGUGGGGGUUGGAAAGUUUCGGCGGUUGGGGAUGGACUCGCGGCUUAUCAGCUUGUUGGUGGGGUAGUGGCUUACCAAGGCUUUGACGGGUAGCCGGCCUGAGGGGGUGACCGGCCACAUUGGGACUGGGAUACGGCCCAGACUCCUACGGGAGGCAGCAGUGGGGAAUAUUGCACAAUGGGCGGAAGCCUGAUGCAGCAACGCCGCGUGCGGGAUGACGGCCUUCGGGUUUUAAACCGCUUUCGCCUGUGACGAAGCGUGAGUGACGGUAAUGGGUAAAGAAGCACCGGCUAACUACGUG
rnacentral:rRNA from 1 species